UUGAGUUUUAUUCUUUAGAGUGCUUUUCUUGAUAUUUAAAUGGGUAGGGGAGGGCUUCUUCACAAGGUAGGAUCUGCUCUGCCCUUUUCGGGUUGGGGAUGUCCAAGUUGAAUCUGGGAGCUGCCUUUGACCAUGGGGAUUCUGGAACACAUGAAUGAAUGAAUCCGAGGGGACUGACUGCCCCGAGCAGGGUUGAAGAAGUUAGUUGGCAGCCACAGAAGAACUACUGUAGGCGUGUACAUAAAUGAUACAAAAGAACAAGCAUUAGACUGGAGAAGCAUUGACCGGGAAUGGCCCAGGAAAUGAUCAGGAAGAGAAAGGGGACUCAUGGUGUUAUCUGAUGCUGCCAUCAGUGUACACUGGGAGAUUUAUGUUAUUUUGCAGCCAUGCAGCAAAAGCCUCCUGUCUCUUUAUUAACCUGUGUGAACCUUUUUAUUUAUUUAAAAUCAAAUCACAAAUAAAAGCAAAAUAAAGA